GUGGGGAAUCUUGCACAAUGGGGGAAACCCUGAUGCAGCGACGCCGCGUGAGCGAUGAAGCCCCUCGGGGUGUAAAGCUCUUUCGACAGGAACGAUUAUGACGGUACCUGGAGAAGAAGCUGCGGCUAACUACGUGCCAGCAGCCGCGGUAAUACGUAGGCAGCAAACGUUGUUCGGAAUUAUUGGGCGUAAAGAGUGUGUAGGCGGUUGCGUGUGUCUGGUGUGAAAUCUCCUGGCUCAACUGGGAGGGUGCGCCGGAAACUGCGCGGCUUGAGUACUGGAGAGGAUGGCGGAAUUCCUGGUGUAGCGGUGAAAUGCGUAGAUAUCAGGAGGAACACCUGUGGUGUAGACGGCUAUCUGGACAGUCACUGACGCUGAGACACGAAAGCGUGGGGAGCAAACAGGAUUAGAAACCCCGGUAGUCC
rnacentral:rRNA from 1 species